GCCUAGGUGUGGCUGUGUAGUGCAGCUGUGUGUGUGUGUGUAGUGCAGGUGUGUGUGUGUGUGUUGCCUCAGGUGUUCCAGUGACUGUGUCCAGCUGCCUCCAAAGCCCCGCCCACCUCUCAGGGUGCCUGGGCCUGCAUCUUCCCGCAGCGCUCAGAGGAAGCAGCACCGAGACACCUGAAGGACCCUUCAGACACCAGGGCCACAACACUGAGGGGAACCCAGCCUUGCCCAGUCCUCCCGGGUGACCCCCUGCCCUCUUUGCAGGCCUGGGAUCCCCGCAAUAACCUCAACAGGGGUGAGGCUGUGCCCUCCGCCUGGCCAUGCCCCACCCACGGUCCUGGGCCACCCCUACUAGGUGGGUCCCUACUGGGUUCCGGGGCAUUGAUGGGCCAGGCUGGCUUCGAAGAGUCUCUGACCGCCCUCUGGCCUGGAGUCCCCCAAUACCACCACAUUUCCAGCUCACCCCCUCACUCCCACCACGCAAAGGGCUAUAGGUCCCCUGCCCUGCCAAGGUCCCGUUUACAAGCUGUGCGGCUGUCCCAGGGCCUGGCCCCUCUCCUCCCUGGGGACAUGGGACCCUCCACGUGCCAGGCCUCUCCACACCCUGGUGUCUCCUGCAAUAACAAGGAAGCGAAAUUCCAACAGUCCACGUGCCCGCCAGGCCCUCUCUCUUCUCUUUCUCUCUUUUUCUCUGUUAAGAUCCUGUUUGGGAGUUGGCUCCCUCGUCGUAGUAUCUAGGAUGUUAGCGUUGGGAAGGGACCGUAGCUUCGUAGCCCUGCCCGCCCUGGGUUUGCAGCCACCAGACUGGCCCCAGACAAACCCUGUCAGGCCACGGCCGCCACCGCCGCCGUUGGCUGGGUCGGGACCCUCUGCCCUUUCUAGGAGAUGUGUUGGUCACAGAUGUUUACCUCAGUUGAUGUUACAGUCAAAGAAACAAACAAAAAAUACUAGCAAAAAAUAACACCGUAGACAUGGAGAUGUAGAAAACAAAAAUACAAAAAAAAAAAAACUUAAAAAAAAAAACCUGUUUCCCCUUGCAGUUCUGUGAAAGUAUACUCUGUGUGUGUGUAUGUGUGUGUGUGUGUGUGCGUGUAUGCUCACACCCUGGGCAGGCCAGGUUGUCCCCAACCUCUGUCCCAGCCCCCGUGUCACCCACACUGCCCCCUGCCCUUCGGUGCUCCCCAGAGAUCCCUCUGAGCUGGCCUGUGGGAUGUGGGGAGUCCCCUGGACAGGAGGCGGGCACAGAGCAGCUACAGGGUCUCCCAUCAGGCCCGUGGGGCAGAGCUACCCCCCGCCAAAGCUGCCCGAUGUGUCCUGAGCCCACGCUGUGGCUGCUGGGACAGUCCUGGCAGCUGGCUUCAGCAUCCAGCUGGGGGCCUGGGGCGGGGGUCUGGGGGGCAGCCCAGGUCCCAGAUACUUGUGUCUCGUCUUCCCCACCCCACGUGUUUGUAAAUAUCCUGACCUCCUUCGCCCACUCCCAGAAGAUUUUUAAAUGUCUUAUUUACUUCUCUAAUCAUGACAAUUGCUAUAAAAUAAACAAAAGUUUAGAAAAAU